rnacentral:rRNA from 1 species
GUGUCAGCCGCCGCGGUAAGACGAACCUUGCUAACGUUAUUCGGAAUUACUGGGCUUAAAGGGUGCGUAGGCGGUGCAGAAAGUCGGGUGUGAAAUCCCUCGGCUCAACCGAGGAAUUGCGCCCGAAACUACUGUGCUUGAGGAAGAUAGAGGUACGCGGAACUUAGGGUGGAGCGGUGAAAUGCGUUGAUAUCCUAAGGAACACCGGUGGCGUAAGCGGCGUACUGGGUCUUUUCUGACGCUGAGGCACGAAAGCUAGGGUAGCGAACGGGAUUAGAAACCCUUGUAGUCC